UACGGAGGGUGCAAGCGUUAUCCGGAUUCACUGGGUUUAAAGGGUGCGUAGGCGGGUUGGUAAGUCCGUGGUGAAAUCUCCGAGCUUAACUCGGAAACUGCCGUGGAUACUAUCAAUCUUGAAUAUCGUGGAGGUAAGCGGAAUAUGUCAUGUAGCGGUGAAAUGUUUAGAUAUGACAUAGAACACCAAUUGCGUAGGCAGCUUACUACACGAUCAUUGACGCUGAGGCACGAAAGCGUGGGGAGCAAACAGG
rnacentral:rRNA from 1 species